rnacentral:lncRNA from 1 species
GUUUAUUUAACAAGGGAAAGCAGACAUAAAGACAUGGGAAAAACACUAAGAGGUUGAGCAUGGACUCGAUUCACCUGGUCAUUUGCCAAAUUCCGGAGGAAAAUUUUGGGAGAGAAAAGCUAUGAAGGAAUAACAACACAAAAAUCGAUAACCUGAUUUUUGGGGUGUUACAAACCUUCCCCCUUAGAUGAAUCUCCUCCUCGAGAUUCCUAGGGUUAGCUUAGAAAAAAAC